AGAGCAAUCUGCCCUUCUCAUCGGAAUAAGCGUUGGAAACGACGUCUAAUGCCGAAUACGACCUCCUUUCGCAUGAUCGGAGGUGGAAAGCUCCGGCGGAGAAGGAUGGGCUCGUGGCCUAUCAGCUAGUUGGUGUGGGUAACGGCCCACCAAGGCGACGACGGGUAGCCGGCCUGAGAGGGUGACCGGCCACACUGGGACUAAGACACGGCCCAGACUCCUACGGUAGGCAGNAGGUAGGGG
rnacentral:rRNA from 1 species